CCUCCAGGGGGCGCUCGCGAAACGACCCGGUGGCUGCAGGCGGACCUGGGAUUGCAGGUCUGAGGAUGCCCAGCGCUGGGAAAGUGGGUUCCCGACACCACGACUCUGGUAUCACCUUCCGAAGUUCUGACUUUGGAGAUGGCUUAGAUACUCUCCUUCGAUCCCGGGAGAGCUGGAUUUCUUUCUGUUUUUCUUUUUCCGGAGCAGGUACCAGAGCGAUGCAGCCUUCUCCUCCUCUUCUCUGCUUUUCUCUCGCACCAGCCAAAUGAAAAAACUUCCAAAUGUGCAGAUUAUGACGUCGCUAGUCAACAGCCCUACUGAAUUGCUCUUUAGACUUUGAGAGCUUUGUUUAGCCUCGAGGUCCCCACAGCAACAUAAAGUGAUUAACAAGGAAUUAUUGCCCUGAUUUUAAUGGACGGAAUCUGAUUUUGUGAGGGGUGAGGCCAACAGCAGUCAUGGAAAACUUCCUUUGCGUUUUCUUAAUAGUCGGAGCUUCCUGUCUUGGUUAACACCUGCCACGUUCAUUUAUCAAUCAAAACAAACAGGCUGGCGAGAUGGUUUCUUGGCCAAGAAGUGCUCAGCCUUAAGAAUUCUGGGGCUUUGAACUUGUUGCAGUUCCUCAGCCUCCUUCUUUGCUGUAAUUUUGCGCAUCACAGGCCUUGCUUGCUGUUUGGUUUACAGUAUGGAUGUCUGGGGACCUCAUUCCUAAAACAGCUACUUAUUCCUUUGCUGUCCCCACUGAUUUCACCAAAUUUUCAUCUAUGAAUACUGAGGAAGAUCCUGAAAAUAUAGACUUGUGGUUAAGCCAAGAGCACGGGUACUGUGGUUGGAGUUCCGCCUGCAAGGUAAUAGGUAUUAAAUAAGUUCUCAGGAGCAAGAAUUGGAGAAGAGAAUGAGGAUGCACCAGGGACAGUGGAGGUGGGGAAAAGGCGAACAGCUCAAGAGGCUUUCUCUAAAAGGUGUAGGCAACCUGUGAAGAAAUCAGUGAGCCAUACCAGCAAGGCGGAUGAGUGGCUCCAGCCACAUCCUAGGAAUCAGGAGGGGAAUAAGGAAGCGAACUUCAUGUCUGAACUGUGAAAGCAUCUUCCAUCUCCUGCCUGAGCAACUAAGGAUGUACUAUAAUUAAACCUUUCAACCUGUCCAAAGGAAGGGAAAGAACAUUUGAUGAAGCAGCUUCUACGUGCACGCCCCUUGCACAGCAGGUCCAAGACUUCCACAAAGGAACCCCUAAUGGAUAGCAUCUGAGGAGUAAGAAAGAAGAGAUAAGUGGUCCUGCUAACAUCGAGAUCUUCUGCGACCACCAUCUCCAUCAGACCCAGGAGAUAAGAUUCAUCCAGACAGCUCCACGAGGACUACAAGGAGGUUAGAUGCUUCGGGUCCAUUUUCUUGUCACUGGACUCAAGACUGAGCAUCCUGUCUAAUGUAAACUACUAGGCCCAGUCUUAUUAAACAGUGCCCUUUUGACUUAGAUGAUGUCAAUAAGUUGUCACAUGCUGUAAAAAGCUGGCUCUGGCAAUGGGUUCUGACCCACCCACCUCAGACAAAAACAUGUCUGCCUCAAAGUUUCCUCACAGACUAAAUUAUCAUAUUAUACUUGCCUAUAUAAUUUAGAUCCAACUUUCUCUCAUUAAGAUGAUGUUAUACAAUAUCUUCUCUUUUUGACAACUGACAUCUAUAUUCCUUCAGCUGUGCUUGCCUUAAGUGAUUUGUUAUAUAUUUGGAUUUGUUAUAUAUUAUUAAUCCUUCGCAAAAGAAAAAAUGGACAAGGCCAUCCCAGCCAAUUGUAUAUAAUUAGGCCCUGACUUCAUAGGGCCUCACACACACACACACACACACACACACACACACACACACACGCGCGCGUGCGACUUAAAAGGGGCCUCCCUUGUGCAGGUAAAGAAAAACUGUCAUACAUAAAUAGAUACUGUUUAAUUUUUAAAUUUUCCUCCAGGGAAGAUGUCUCACAACAGAUAGUAAGUUUGUUAAUCGUGUCUCAGAGUAUUAAGAAAGGUUAAAAUGUCUGAAUGUUUCCAAAACUUGGACAUAAGAAAACAAAUAAGAGGUAAUAGUCCUCAAUGAUUUCCUUUCUUUCUUUUUAUGUACAUUGGUGUGAAGAUGUCAGAUCCCCUGGAACUGGAGUUAAAGACAGUUGUGAGCUGCCAUGUGGGUGCUGGGAAUGGAACCGGGAUGUCUUCUGGAAGAGCAGCCAGUGCUCUUAGCCAAUGAGCCAUCUCUCCAGCCCCUCCUGGAUGAUUUCUAAUGAGGAUUAAAAAGCAUGAACAACACGGCUUGUCAUGUAAGGCUAUAGUUACAGAACAGCAUUAAAGUUUUUAGUUCUGAGGACGCUCCCCCUGUGAGUUCUUGUUUACAAAGACUGUUCCCUCAUCCAAAACCCAUUGAUAUGUCUAAAUCUCUUGUUAAGAUGUAAACUCAUCCACUCGGGAUCUGUGAGACCAAACAAAACCAUAAAAGUUUAAAACCAAGUCACAAAAAGUCCAAAUAAGCUCCACAAGGGUUACAGAGGAUGUCUUGAGGCAAGUUUGCUAAUUCUUAAGGUGAUAGUCGACUCUGUCCAUGCUGACAAAAACCGACUUUAAAAUGUAUGUCUAAUCACUUAGGUCUUUGUUAAUGUCAGUUAAACUUUAACCUUUUGGGAAAACUGAAUCACAACAGUAGCUGUGGUAAUGAUUAAUUGUACAUUUUUUUUUUAAACUAUUUUAAUUUUGUGUGUAUGGGUGUUUUGUCAGUGUGAAUGUCUAUGCACCAUGUGCAUACAGUGCCCAAGGUAUCCAGAGGAGGAUCCUUUGAGACUGGAGUCACAGACAGUUGUGAGCCACUGGGUGGGUGCUGGGAAUUGAACCUCUGAAGAGCAGCUGGUGCUCUUAACUGCCGAACACCCCCUCCCCUUCAUUUUUAUUCUUAUGAAAACCAUCUUGACUGUUCCCUUCUAUUAUUAUAUUUUUUAUGAUAAACACAAGCAUGCUUAAACUGGGCAGUGGUCACGGACACCUUUUAUCCCAGCACUCAAUAACCUGGGUUUCAAGGCCAGCCUGGUCUACAGAGAAAGUUCCAGGACAGCCAGGGCUACACAGAGAAAUACAGAGAAACCCUGUCUCGAAAAAGCCAAAAGGAAUAAAAAAAAAGAAAAACUUGCUUGAUGUCAAGAUAAUAUCAAAUGUUGACAAUUCUAAAAAAAUCUCAAUUUAGAUAUGAAGCUCCCAGUUUCUCUAUGGGUUGUAACUGUGGUUUAAAGUUUAUUUUAUUUUAGUACUAUUUCUUCUUUUUGAGACUGGGUUUCUCUGUGUAGCCCUGGAUGUCCUGGAAUAAAGGACCUCCACCCUGGUCCAUGGAAACCCCCUUUGCUCUCCAUAAAAACCUCUGAGAACAACAUGGGUACCACACUCUUCACAACCUACUCCUGGUAAAAUCCCAGUCCUAGAUGUUGGAGGGAGGAUGCAUUUACAGUCUGAGCUCUUCUCCAUCCACUGACCAUUGAGUCAAAUUUCCAGCCCACUCCAUAUUUUGGUUAUUUGCAGAUGAUAUUGUGUAGGAAACUAGCUGGUUCUGAGACAAGCUACAGAAGCACAUUAUGAGCAAAGAGCCCCUGAUACCUGUUGCUAGGCUUUGACUCUUUCAUAUCCUCCUAAGUUUAUGUGUUUAGAGGUGGGGGCCUUGGGGAGGUGAACAGACUGUGUAGGCUCUGAGACAGUCAAUGGCUCAGCUCACUGACAGCUUCCUAGAUGAAUGGGGUUGUAAGGAGGGGCUUUGCUAUAAGCACUCACUGACCACCAUGGUGAGCUGAGCAGCUUUGCUCCACUGUGGACCUGUUCCCUGCCACGAUAAUCCAUGGAGCUAGUGACCAUGGACAGAAACUUCUAAGACCAUGAAUCCAAAUAAAGAGUGUUUUCCUCCUUGUGAGUUGAUCAUCUCA